rnacentral:rRNA from 1 species
GAUGAACGCUGGCGGCGUGCCUAAUACAUGCAAGUCGAGCGAACGGACGAGAAGCUUGCUUUUCUGAUGUUAGCGGCGGACGGGUGAGUAACACGUGGAUAACCUACCUAUAAGACUGGGAUAACUUCGGGAAACCGGAGCUAAUACCGGAUAAUAUUUUGAACCGCAUGGUUCAAAAGUGAAAGUCGGUCUUGCUGUCACUUAUAGAUGGAUCCGCGCUGCAUUGGCUAGUUGGUAAGGUAACGGCUUACCAAGGCAACGAUGCAUAGCCGACCUGAGAGGGUGAUCGGCCACACUGGAACUGAGACACGGUCCAGACUCCUACGGGAGGCAGCAGUAGGGAAUCUUCCGCAAUGGGCGAAAGCCUGACGGAGCAACGCCGCGUGAGUGAUGAAGGUCUUCGGAUCGUAAAACUCUGUUAUUAGGGAAGAACAUAUGUGUAAGUAACUGUGCACAUCUUGACGGUACCUAAUCAGAAAGCCACGGCUAACUACGUG